ACGCUCGACACCUACGGAGGCAGCAGUGGGGAAUAUUGGGCAAUGGAGGCAACUCUGACCCAGCAACGCCGCGUGAAUGAUGAAGGUCUUCGGAUUGUAAAGUUCUGUGACGGGGGACGAACACAAUGACGGUACCCCGAUAGCAAGCCACGGCUAACUACGUGCCCGCAGCCGCGGUAAUCUGAGCGGGCUGGCAAGGC
rnacentral:rRNA from 1 species